rnacentral:rRNA from 1 species
CUAAUACCGGAUAGGAGCUCCUGCUGCAUGGUGGGGGUUGGAAAGUUUCGGCGGUUGGGGAUGGACUCGCGGCUUAUCAGCUUGUUGGUGGGGUAGUGGCUUACCAAGGCUUUGACGGGUAGCCGGCCUGAGAGGGUGACCGGCCACACUGGGACUGAGACACGGCCCAGACUCCUACGGGAGGCAGCAGUGGGGAAUAUUGGACAAUGGGCGAAAGCCUGAUCCAGCCAUGCCGCGUGUGUGAAGAAGGUCUUCGGAUUGUAAAGCACUUUAAGUUGGGAGGAAGGGCAGUAAAUUAAUACUUUGCUGUUUUGACGUUACCGACAGAAUAAGCACCGGCUAACUCUGUGCCAGCAGCCGCGGUAAUACAGAGGGUGCAAGCGUUAAUCGGAAUUACUGGGCGUAAAGCGCGCGUAGGUGGUUCGUUAAGUUGGAUGUGAAAUCCCCGGGCUCAACCUGGGAACUGCAUUCAAAACUGACGAGCUAGAGUAUGGUAGAGGGUGGUGGAAUUUCCUGUGUAGCGGUGAAAUGCGUAGAUAUAGGAAGGAACACCAGUGGCGAAGGCGACCACCUGGACUGAUACUGACACUGAGGUGCGAAAGCGUGGGGAGCAAACAGUAUUA